rnacentral:rRNA from 1 species
AGAUUAAGUUAUUAAGGGCGCACGGUGGAUGCCUUGGCACUAGAAGCCGAUGAAGGACGUUACUAACGACGAUAUGCUUUGGGGAGCUGUAAGUAAGCUUUGAUCCAGAGAUUUCCGAAUGGGGAAACCCAGCAUGAGUUAUGUCAUGUUAUCGAUAUGUGAAUACAUAGCAUAUCAGAAGGCACACCCGGAGAACUGAAACAUCUUAGUACCCGGAGGAAGAGAAAGAAAAUUCGAUUCCCUUAGUAGCGGCGAGCGAAACGGGAAGAGCCCAAACCAACAAGCUUGCUUGUUGGGGUUGUAGGACACUCUAUACGGAGUUACAAAGGACGACAUUAGACGAAUCAUCUGGAAAGAUGAAUCAAAGAAGGUAAUAAUCCUGUAGUCGAAAAUGUUGUCUCUCUUGAGUGGAUCCUGAGUACGACGGAGCACGUGAAAUUCCGUCGGAAUCUGGGAGGACCAUCUCCUAAGGCUAAAUACUCUCUAGUGACCGAUAGUGAACCAGUACCGUGAGGGAAAGGUGAAAAGCACCCCGGAAGGGGAGUGAAAUAGAACCUGAAACCGUGUGCUUACAAGUAGUCAGAGCCCGUUAAUGGGUGAUGGCGUGCCUUUUGUAGAAUGAACCGGCGAGUUACGAUUUGAUGCAAGGUUAAGCAGUAAAUGUGGAGCCGUAGCGAAAGCGAGUCUGAAUAGGGCGUUUAGUAUUUGGUCGUAGACCCGAAACCAGGUGAUCUACCCUUGGUCAGGUUGAAGUUCAGGUAACACUGAAUGGAGGACCGAACCGACUUACGUUGAAAAGUGAGCGGAUGAACUGAGGGUAGCGGAGAAAUUCCAAUCGAACCUGGAGAUAGCUGGUUCUCUCCGAAAUAGCUUUAGGGCUAGCCUCAAGUGAUGAUUAUUGGAGGUAGAGCACUGUUUGGACGAGGGGCCCCUCUCGGGUUACCGAAUUCAGACAAACUCCGAAUGCCAAUUAAUUUAACUUGGGAGUCAGAACAUGGGUGAUAAGGUCCGUGUUCGAAAGGGAAACAGCCCAGACCACCAGCUAAGGUCCCAAAAUAUAUGUUAAGUGGAAAAGGAUGUGGCGUUGCCCAGACAACUAGGAUGUUGGCUUAGAAGCAGCCAUCAUUUAAAGAGUGCGUAAUAGCUCACUAGUCGAGUGACACUGCGCCGAAAAUGUACCGGGGCUAAACAUAUUACCGAAGCUGUGGAUUGUCCUUUGGACAAUGGUAGGAGAGCGUUCUAAGGGCGUUGAAGCAUGAUCGUAAGGACAUGUGGAGCGCUUAGAAGUGAGAAUGCCGGUGUGAGUAGCGAAAGACGGGUGAGAAUCCCGUCCACCGAUUGACUAAGGUUUCCAGAGGAAGGCUCGUCCGCUCUGGGUUAGUCGGGUCCUAAGCUGAGGCCGACAGGCGUAGGCGAUGGAUAACAGGUUGAUAUUCCUGUACCACCUAUAAUCGUUUUAAUCGAUGGGGGGACGCAGUAGGAUAGGCGAAGCGUGCGAUUGGAUUGCACGUCUAAGCAGUAAGGCUGAGUAUUAGGCAAAUCCGGUACUCGUUAAGGCUGAGCUGUGAUGGGGAGAAGACAUUGAGUCUUCGAGUCGUUGAUUUCACACUGCCGAGAAAAGCCUCUAGAUAGAAAAUAGGUGCCCGUACCGCAAACCGACACAGGUAGUCAAGAUGAGAAUUCUAAGGUGAGCGAGCGAACUCUCGUUAAGGAACUCGGCAAAAUGACCCCGUAACUUCGGGAGAAGGGGUGCUCUUUAGGGUUAACGCCCAGAAGAGCCGCAGUGAAUAGGCCCAAGCGACUGUUUAUCAAAAACACAGGUCUCUGCUAAACCGUAAGGUGAUGUAUAGGGGCUGACGCCUGCCCGGUGCUGGAAGGUUAAGAGGAGUGGUUAGCUUCUGCGAAGCUACGAAUCGAAGCCCCAGUAAACGGCGGCCGUAACUAUAACGGUCCUAAGGUAGCGAAAUUCCUUGUCGGGUAAGUUCCGACCCGCACGAAAGGCGUAACGAUUUGGGCACUGUCUCAACGAGAGACUCGGUGAAAUCAUAGUACCUGUGAAGAUGCAGGUUACCCGCGACAGGACGGAAAGACCCCGUGGAGCUUUACUGUAGCCUGAUAUUGAAAUUCGGCACAGCUUGUACAGGAUAGGUAGGAGCCUUUGAAACGUGAGCGCUAGCUUACGUGGAGGCGCUGGUGGGAUACUACCCUAGCUGUGUUGGCUUUCUAACCCGCACCACUUAUCGUGGUGGGAGACAGUGUCAGGCGGGCAGUUUGACUGGGGCGGUCGCCUCCUAAAAGGUAACGGAGGCGCUCAAAGGUUCCCUCAGAAUGGUUGGAAAUCAUUCAUAGAGUGUAAAGGCAUAAGGGAGCUUGACUGCGAGACCUACAAGUCGAGCAGGGUCGAAAGACGGACUUAGUGAUCCGGUGGUUCCGCAUGGAAGGGCCAUCGCUCAACGGAUAAAAGCUACCCCGGGGAUAACAGGCUUAUCUCCCCCAAGAGUUCACAUCGACGGGGAGGUUUGGCACCUCGAUGUCGGCUCAUCGCAUCCUGGGGCU